CACGUAGGAGGCGAGCGUUGUCCGGAAUCAUUGGGCGUAAAGAGCGCGCAGGCGGCUUGGCAAGUCGGGUGUGAAAUCCCGGGGCUCAACCCCGUGACUGCAUCCGAUACUGUCAGGCUAGAGGUAGGUAGGGGAGAUCGGAAUUCCUGGUGUAGCGGUGAAAUGCGCAGAUAUCAGGAGGAACACCGAUGGCGAAGGCAGAUCUCUGGGCCGUAACUGACGCUGAGGAGCGAAAGCAUGGGGAGCGAACAGG
rnacentral:rRNA from 1 species